rnacentral:rRNA from 1 species
AGCAGCCGCGGUAAUUCCAGCUCCAAUAGCGUAUAUUAAAGUUGUUGCAGUUAAAAAAGCUCGUAGUUGAACUUCGGAAUUUAUUCAUUGGUCAGACUUAACUGUCUGUACUGGUGUUAUGAAUUCCUACCUUCUGAGGAAUUAUCAUGCCAUUUAGUUGGUGUGGUAGGGAAUCAGGACUGUUACUUUGAAAAAAUUAGAGUGUUUAAAGCAGGCUAACGUCUGAAUACAUUAGCAUGGAAUAAUAGAAUAGGACGGAUUGGUUCUAUUUUGUUGGUUUCUAGGAUCACCGUAAUGAUUAAUAGGGAUAGUUGGGGGCAUUAGUAUUCAAUUGUCAGAGGUGAAAUUCUUGGAUUUAUUGAAGACUAACUA